rnacentral:ncRNA from 2 species
AAUUUCAUAUAAGAAAUAGGUGGCUCAUUUAAAUAUGAGUCUUAAAAGGGAAGUUCGGUGCAAAUCCGACGCGGUCCCGCCACUGUAAUUGGGAGUUCUCUAUCGGAUACCACUGUUUUCAUAACGGGAAGGUGUAGAGAAUGAUGAACAUAAGCCAGGAGACCUGCCUGUUUCAAACGCCAUAA